ACUGUGGAGUGUACAAGAACUUGUGAGUAGUGUGUUGCCUGCAACCACCAAAGCAUACACGAUGAAGCAGUAA
ncrna:unclassified sequences RAGATH-18 RNA